rnacentral:lncRNA from 1 species
UUCAAACAAAAAUCUGAAAAGUCUGUGAGAUGGGUGGUUUUUUACCUAUUUAUUUAGUUCAGAAACUUUGGACAUUCUCAUACAUAGUUUUUUAGAUGAUGGUGCUGCUUUUUAAAAGAAACACUGAUGAGAGAAAGAAUUCAGGUUCUUAAGCCCUUAUUUAAUUUAGAAAAAAAAUUGGAUAUUCAUCUUGUCUAGUAAUUACUUAAAAACCUGACAUACUAUAUGUUGAUAACUUAAGAGAUUACAG